rnacentral:rRNA from 1 species
UGUGAUAUCGAUAUCGUGAUGGAAACACCUGGUCCCAUUCCGAACCCAGAAGUUAAGCAUCAUGGAGCCAAAGGUAGCGCAAGCAAGAAUAGGAAAAUAUCACGCCAACAAAA